GGGGGGACAGGGUGACAGGUGGUGGCAUGGUUGUCGUCAGCUCGUGUCGUGAGAUGUUGGGUUAAGUCCCGCAACGAGCGCAACCCUCGACCUUAGUUGCCAGCAUUCAGUUGGGCACUCUAAGGUGACUGCCGGCUAAAAGUCGGAGGAAGGUGGGGAUGACGUCAAAUCAUCAUGCCCCUUAUGACCUGGGCUACACACGUGCUACAAUGGGCGGUACAAAGGGUCGCGAACCCGCGAGGGGGAGCCAAUCCCAAAAAGCCGCUCUCAGUUCGGAUUGCAGGCUGCAACUCGCCUGCAUGAAGCCGGAAUCGCUAGUAAUCGCGGAUCAGCAUGCCGCGGUGAAUACGUUCCCGGGCCUU
rnacentral:rRNA from 1 species